rnacentral:rRNA from 1 species
CCUACGGGCGGCUGCAGUGGGGAAUAUUGCACAAUGGGCGAAACCCUGAUGCAGCGACGCCGCGUGAGUGAAGAAGUUUUUCGGUAUGGAAAGCCCCAUCUGCCGGGAAGCAAAUGCCGGUACCCGUCUACGAAGCCCCGGCUAACUACGUGCCAGCAGCCGCGGCAAUACGUAGGGGGCCAGCGUUAUCCGGAUUUACUGGGUGUAAAGGGGGCGUAGACGGCAGCACAAGUCUGGAGUGAAAUGCCGGGGCUUAAACCCGGAACUGCUUUGGAAACUGUGCAGCUAGAGUGCAGGAGAGGUAAGUGGAAUGCGUGGUGUAGCGGUGAAAUGCGUAGAUAUGGGGAGGAACACCAGUGGCGAAGGCAGCUUACCGGACUGAAACUGACGUUGAGGCACGAAAGCGUGGGGAGCAAACAGGAUUAGAUACCCGUGUAGUC